rnacentral:rRNA from 1 species
AACAGCCGCGGUAAUUCCAGCUCCAAUAGCGUAAAUUAAAGUUGUUGCAGUUAAAAGCUCGUAGUUGAAUUUCGGGGUUUGUCCAUUGGUCGGGCUUUACCGUCCGUACUGGUGCGAUGGAUUCCUACCUUCUGAAUAACCUGCAUGCCAUUUAUUUUGUGUGCUGGGGAAGCAGAGCUGUUACCUUGAAAAAAUUAGAGUGCUUAAAGCAGGAAAGUGCCUGAAUACAUUAGCAUGGGAUAAUGAAAUAGGACGGCAUGGUUCUAUUUUGUUGGUUUCUAGGAUCACCGUAAUGAUUAAUAGGGAUAGUUGGGGGCAUUAGUAUUCAAUUGUCAGAGGUGAAAUUCUUGGAUUUAUUGAAGACUAACUUCUGCGAAAGCAUUUGCCAUCAUUAAUCAAGAACGAAAGUUAGGGGAUCGAAGACGAUCAGAUACCGUCGUAGUCUUAACCAUAAAAUAUGCCGACUAGGGAUCGGACGAUGUUAAUUUUUUAAUGACUCG